UGGGGAAUUUUGGACAAUGGGCGAAAGCCUGAUCCAGCCAUGCCGCGUGAGUGAAGAAGGCCUUCGGGUUGUAAAGCUCUUUUAGUCGGAAAGAAAGAGUUGCAAUGAAUAAUUGUGAUUUAUGACGGUACCGACAGAAAAAGCACCGGCUAACUACGUGCCAGCAGCCGCGGUAAUACGUAGGGUGCGAGCGUUAAUCGGAAUUACUGGGCGUAAAGGGUGCGAAGGCGGUCUUGCAAGUCAGAUGUGAAAGCCCCGGGCUUAACCUGGGAAUUGCGUUUGAAACUACAAGGCUAGAGUGCAGCAGAGGGGAGUGGAAUUCCAUGUGUAGCAGUGAAAUGCGUAGAGAUGUGGAAGAACACCGAUGGCGAAGGCAGCUCCCUGGGUUGACACUGACGCUCAUGCACGAAAGCGUGGGGAGCAAACA
rnacentral:rRNA from 1 species